CCUUGUUGGACAUAACUGAAGUCUGGAUGGCAGGGUGAAAAUUGGAUAAACAGCCACACUGACUCAGGGGAGAUUUUUUUUUAAUGCAAACAUCUGUUUCUUGAAUUUGGCCAUGGGGUAUAAAUCCUGCCUUCUCUCAGCCUUACAGAGGAAGAAAACCCUUUCCAAGUUUCCUCUGAUACUGGGUUUAUGCCCAAUUAUAGUUUAGGCAUGAAGAAACUGAAGCAUGGAGGAAAAACUUAGCAACUAGCCCAACGUCACACAGGCAAGCCAGCCUUGACAAUGUGCUGAUGGCAACCUAGAACAUAAGCAGAGGAGUAUACAGGACAAGAACUUGAUGGUCUCGGGAA
rnacentral:lncRNA from 10 species